rnacentral:rRNA from 1 species
UACGGAGGGUGCAAGCGUUAUCCGGAUUUACUGGGUUUAAAGGGUGCGUAGGUGGGUCUGUAAGUCAGUGGUGAAAUCUUCGAGCUUAACUCGGAAACUGCCAUUGAUACUAUAGGUCUUGAAUUAUCUGGAGGUAAGCGGAAUAUGUCAUGUAGCGGUGAAAUGCUUAGAUAUGACAUAGAACACCCAUUGCGAAGGCAGCUUACUACGGAUCGAUUGACACUGAGGCACGAAAGCGUGGGGAU